rnacentral:rRNA from 1 species
UACGUAGGGUGCGAGCGUUUGUCCGGAAUUAUUGGGCGUAAAGAGCUCGUAGGCGGUUUGUCGCGUCGACUGUGAAAACCUACAGCUUAACUGUGGGCUUGCAGUCGAUACGGGCAGACUUGAGUUCGGUAGGGGAGACUGGAAUCCUGGUGUAGCGGUGAAAUGCGCAGGAUAUCAGGAGGAACACCGGUGGCGAAGGCGGGUCUCUGGGCCGAUACUGACGCUGAGGAGCGAAAGCGUGGGGAGCGAACAGG